AAGAUGGCAUCAUGAGUCCGNAUGUUCACAUGAUUAAAGGUAUUCCGGUAGACGAUGGGGAUGCGUUCCAUUAGGUAGUAGGCGGGGUAACGGCCACCUAGCCAACGAUGGAUAGGGGUUCUGAGAGGAAGGUCCCCCACAUUGGAACUGAGACACGGUCCAAACUCCUACGGGAGGCAGCAGUGAGGAAUAUUGGUCAAUGGACGAGAGUCUGAACCAGCCAAGUAGCGUGCAGGAUGACGGCCCUAUGGGUUGUAAACUGCUUUUAUAAGGGAAUAAAGUGGGAGUCGUGACUCUUUUUGCAUGUACCUUAUGAAUAAGGACCGGCUAAUUCCGUG
rnacentral:rRNA from 1 species